AGGUAAUAGAUACCCGGGUAGUCCACGCCGUAAACGAUGGAUGCUAGCUGUUAACCGUAUCGACCCGGUUAGUAGCGAAAGCUAAACGCGUUAAAGCAUCCCGCCUGUGGAGUACGGCCGCAAGGCUAAAACAUAAAGGAAUUGACGGGGACCCGCACAAGCGGUGGAGCGUGUUGUUUAAUUCGAUGGUAAGCGAAGAACCUUACCCAGGCUUGACAUCCUUGGAAGGCUUCCGAAAGGAAACUGUGCCGUAAGGAACCAAGUGACAGGUGUUGCAUGGCCGUCGUCAGCUCGUGUCGUGAGAUGUUUGGUUAAGUCCAUCAACGAGCGCAACCCCUUUAGUUAGUUGAAUUUUUCUAGCUAGACUGCCCUGGUAACAGGGAGGAAGGAGGGGAUGAUGUCAGGUCAGUAUUAC
rnacentral:rRNA from 1 species